GAGUUUGAUCAUGGCUCAGAGUGAACGCUGGCGGCGUGCUUAACACAUGCAAGUCGAACGAUGAAGCUCUAGCUUGCUAGAGUGGAUUAGUGGCGCACGGGUGAGUAAUGUAUAGCUAAUGUGCCCCUUAGAGGGGGAUAACAGUUGGAAACGACUGCUAAUACCCCAUACUCCUUCUUCCUAUAAGGGAAGUUGGGAAAGUUUUUUCGCUAAGGGAUCGGGCUAUAUGGUAUCAGCUUGUUGGUGAGGUAAUGGCUCACCAAGGCUAUGACGCCUAUCUGGUCUGAGAGGAUGAUCAGACACACUGGAACUGAGACACGGUCCAGACUCCUACGGGAGGCAGCAGUGGGGAAUAUUACACAAUGGAGGAAACUCUGAUGUAGCAACGCCGCGUGGAGGAUGACACAUUUCGGUGCGUAAACUCCUUUUAUAUGGGAAGAUAAUGA
rnacentral:rRNA from 1 species